AGCAUAUCAAUAAGCGGAGGAAAAGAAACUAACAAGGAUUCCCCUAGUAACUGCGAGUGAAGCGGGAAAAGCUCAAAUUUAAAAUCUGUUGGCUUUUUUGGUCAUCCGAGUUGUAAUCUAGAGAAGUGUUACCCGUGCUGGACCGUGUACAAGUCUCCUGGAAUGGAGCAUCACAGAGGGUGAGAAUCCCGUCUUUGACAUGGACUACCUGUACUUUUGCGGUAUGCUCUCAAAGAGUCGAGUUGUUUGGGAAUGCAGCUCAAAAUGGGUGGUAAAUGCCAUCUAAAGCUAAAUAUUGGCGAGAGACCGAUAGCGAACAAGUACCGUGAGGGAAAGAUGAAAAGAACUUUGGAAAGAGAGUUAAACAGUACGUGAAAUUGCUGAAAGGGAAACGCUUGAAGUCAGUCGCGUUGACUUGGAAUCAACCCUGUUUCUGCUGGGUGUACUUUCUUGUCAAUGGGUCAGCAUCAAUUUUGACCGUUGGAUAAAGUUGCUGGGAAUGUGGCAUCUUUGGAUGUGUUAUAGCCCAGUGAUGCAUACGGCGGUUGGGAUUGAGGAACUCAGCACGCCAACAAGGCUGGGUUUCGACCACGUCCGUGCUUAGGAUGCUGGCAUAAUGGCUUUAAUCGACCCGUCUUGAAACACGGACCAAGGAGUCUAACAUGCCUGCAAGUGUUUGGGUGGAAAACCCAUGCGCGCAAUGAAAGUGAAAGUUGAGAUCCCUUUUGGGGGAGCAUCGACGCCCGGACCAGACCUUUUGUGACGGAUCCGCGGUAGAGCAUGUAUGUUGGGACCCGAAAGAUGGUGAACUAUGCCUGAAUAGGGUGAAGCCAGAGGAAACUCUGGUGGAGGCUCGUAGCGAUUCUGACGUGCAAAUCGAUCGUCAAAUUUGGGUAUAGGGGCGAAAGACUAAUCGA
rnacentral:rRNA from 1 species